rnacentral:sRNA from 1 species
AAAUUUAAAUUAGUCGUUCUUAGGGAAAAAAGAAGGAACAGGGACAAGCUCCUGGCGGUUGGCUGUGGCAGACACUUCACCAGGGGCUGACUCGCGGGGGCUGAGUGUACAGGCCCCAGGUGGUGGUUGAUGAGAGGUGAUGAGUGUGCCAGCCACCUUGCAGGGGUCUUUCCUGGCGAGCUGGCAGGAGCAGGGAGGAGCACGUUGCUCCUGCUGCUGGUGGGGCAGUAACGUGUUCAACCUGCCAGCGACGUUUUUGCUGAAAGCCGAAGCCAAGGGUGGUGUGGUUGGCCGUCAGGGAUACAGGGCCCCGUGUGGGAAUGGUGCUUUCAGUGAGGCUGGCAGGAUUCUUGCGGCUCAGGUGGGAGCUUUGGCCUGCACGGUGUUUUGCUCUCUGGAGACCAAGGGUGAUGAUGGUGCUGGCACUGAGUCACAGCUGAGAUUCAGCUCGGGGACUUCAUUUCUGAAUGCGUGUCCUCUUUCCCAGGGAAAGCAGGCAGGAUGGGAGAGUUGCCGAUAGAACCACCUCUUCCCUGCCUCCUGGGCUUGGGGGAAGCUUGAAUGACAUCUAAGGCCCCGUGCCUGGGUAAGCCUUGUGGUGUCUCAGACAUGCCCAGUGGGUGCCAUGGCUGACUCAAGGUGGCACAGUCCCCAUUGGGAGUUGGCACAGUCCCCAUUGGGAGUUGGCACAGCCAAGGCCCUGGGGCCACCUGGAGCGGCAGUGAGGUGGAAAGGUGAGUGGGCCCUUGGGCGUCGCUGCAGGGUCGAUGGCGGACGCCUUGGGAGAGCUCCAGCUCAUCUGCCCGGAGGAGACAGCCCCAGGACGGGGGUGGCGCGGGUCUUUGGUGGGGGCAGGCAGGAAGUGCCAGUGCUGAGACUGAAUUUCAGGCCCUUCUCAUCUGCCAAUAAGAGACAUCCCCAGAAUGGGGGUGGCGCGGGUUUGUCGGGGGUAAGUAAGUGGGGCCAGUGCUGAGACUGGAGCUUCAGGGCCUUCACCUUCAUCUGCGGGCCUCUCGUUCGUUCGUGAGUGCAGGCUCAUUGGGAGGCUUCUGUCUGUGUCCCCCCACCCCCGCCCCAGGCUGUAAUUCAGAGGCCGUGUGGCAUAGGCUUCUAGUUUACUGUGCAUCAUUUCAGAUGUAGACUUCUACAUUCUUUUUCCUGAUUAUAAAAUACUCGUAAAAGCUGUAGGAAAGCGAGCCUGUGUCCCGCUUGGCAGCAGUGCAGGUGAGCGUGGUGCCGUCACCACUGGCCUGUCCCAGGAACUCAUCGCCCGCCGCGCAUGAGGUCGGCGUGCGGCUCUGUGGCACGGUCCUCUCCCCAUGGCAAGGAUUGGGAUCAUCUUUCAUGUCUGCAGACAGCAUGGGCGAGGCUGACUCGCCAUUGCUGUGAGCUUUGUAUGCCGUCACGUGCACAAGGACGUUCGCGUCAACUGCUUCUGUGGUUUGAAUUAAGACCUCAGCUUGGCUUGGAUGGGGGCAUUUCUAAGGCGAGCGCUGUCUUGAUCCUGAAUGUUUUCUCAUUGAAUCGCAGGAAGCUCUUCGUGGGCGGUCUUGACUGGAGCACGACCCAAGAGACUCUGCGCAGCUACUUUUCCCAAUAUGGAGAAGUCGUAGAUUGUGUUAUCAUGAAAGAUAAAACCACCAACCAGUCUCGAGGCUUUGGGUUUGUCAAAUUUAAAGACCCAAACUGUGUGGGGACGGUGCUGGCCAGCAGACCGCACACGCUAGAUGGCCGAAACAUCGACCCCAAGCCAUGCACACCCCGGGGGAUGCAGCCGGAGAGAACACGGCCGAAGGAAGGAUGGCAGAAAGGACCCAGGAGCGAUAACAGUAAAUCAAAUAAGAUAUUUGUCGGUGGAAUUCCUCACAAUUGUGGUGAGACAGAGCUCAGGGAAUACUUCAAGAAGUUCGGAGUGGUCACGGAGGUAGUCAUGAUCUAUGAUGCUGAGAAGCAGAGGCCCCGAGGUGGAAGUUAAACGAGCUGAGCCUCGGGACAGCAAGAGCCAAGCGCCGGGACAGCCAGGUGCCAGCCAGUGGGGGAGCCGGGUUGUGCCCAACGCUGCCAAUGGCUGGGCAGGCCAGCCCCCGCCCACGUGGCAGCAAGGAUAUGGCCCGCAAGGAAUGUGGGUGCCGGCAGGACAGGCGAUUGGUGGCUAUGGACCGCCCCCUGCAGGAAGAGGAGCCCCCCCGCCACCCCCACCGUUCACCUCCUACAUCGUGUCCACCCCUCCCGGAGGCUUUCCCCCUCCCCAGGGCUUCCCUCAGGGCUACGGUGCCCCGCCACAGUUCAGUUUUGGCUACGGGCCUCCACCUCCACCGCCAGAUCAGUUUGCCCCUCCGGGGGUUCCUCCUCCACCAGCCACUCCCGGGGCAGCACCUCUGGCUUUCCCACCGCCUCCGUCUCAGGCCGCCCCGGACAUGAGCAAGCCCCCGACAGCUCAGCCAGACUUCCCCUAUGGUCAGUAUGGUUACGGGCAGGACUUGAGUGGCUUUGGACAGGGCUUCUCGGACCCCAGCCAGCAGCCUCCUUCCUAUGGGGGUCCCUCCGUGCCAGGGUCGGGGGGCCCCCCCGCCGGUGGCAGCGGCUUUGGACGAGGGCAGAACCACAACGUGCAAGGGUUCCACCCCUACCGACGCUAGCCCGCGGCGCCGCGACGUCUGCACGGCCCAGACCCAGGAUUCCAAACUUGUGAACUCGUGACAAUCACAAACGUGGCGGCAAAGUAGCGACUCAACCUUGGGGGGGGCGGGGGGAGGGCGCGAGGCUUUUGGAGCGGCUGUGGGUGUCGUCUGGACUGAGGUUUUUAAAUAUUUCUUUCUCUAACCCAUCAGCACAAUAAAAAAAAAGUCACUGGUUCAACAACAGGGUUUAAAAAAAAUGUCUUCAGCUUUAAUUCAAAACUUCAGGUUUCUUUUUCUUCCUUUUUUUGGAAAUUAUUUUCCUGAGCCUUUUGUUUUACAGUAUAUUGUAAACUUUUAUGUUAAAGAAAAAAUAUACAUUUACAAAUUGUGAGAUUUUUAAGAGAAAUUUUCUACGAUGUAUACUGGCUUAUUUUUUAAUUUAAAACAGGGUUUCCGUCGGCACUGGUGGAGGGGUGCGCUGUUAGUCCCCUCGCUCCUGGCUUUGGGGGUUGGGACUUGGUGGUCCAGAAACUCUGGGAGCUUCAAGAAGAAAUCUACUGAGUGUAUUUCUGUUUUUUGUUUAAUUCCUUGCUUUUGUCGACCUGCUUGGUAGCGUCUGAGGUGAACUGUGGGGGUUGCGCACAGCCAGCCGCGUGGAUCCCACGUGGCGCUGAACCAAACGAGUAGGAAGCCUUUCUCCCCAGGCACGUGGCUUCAGGGCGUUUCCCAUUGACCAGUUUGACCCUGGUUUGAAUAAAGAGAAGUGCGUUUGCAUUAGAAACCA